UACAGAGGUCCCGAGCGUUGUUCGGAUUUAUUGGGCGUAAAGGGUGCGUAGGCGGCGGAGUAAGUUGGGUGUGAAAUCCCGGGGCUCACCCCCGGAAGUGCAUUGGAAACUGAUGGACUCGAGUCCCGGAGAGGAGAGUGGAAUUCCUGGUGUAGCGGUGAAAUGCGUAGAUAUCAGGAGGAACACCGGUGGCGAAGGCGGCUCUCUGGACGGUGACUGACGCUGAGACGCGAAAGCGUGGGGAGCAAACAGG
rnacentral:rRNA from 1 species